rnacentral:lncRNA from 1 species
UAUCGUUCGACUGAAUGUGAUCGUUUCAUAUAGUUUGAUGCCAGAGUAUGGAAAAGCUGAAUCCUAAUAUAACGCUAUAAUGGAAAUUGAUAAACAUUCAUUGGUUAAAGUUAAACCAAGCUUGAUUAGAAUAAUGUUCAUAGACUAUUAAAAUUAAAAAGGGUAGCUGCUUGACGCGCUUUGAAUCAACACCGUUUUAAUUAAAAAUGUAUAUAGCCGUGCUUUCGAAAUCUGGCCGUUGUAAAGUUCACUCGGACAGAAGCAGAACAAGCGGUACGUGGAUGAGAUAGAUAUUUAUCUAUAGGUGAGUUAUAAACUAUUUUUGUAUACCGCUUAUAUACUGUAGUCAUUGUCAAUAGCUGGGGGGAAUUAUAUGUAAUGAAUAGAAUAAUGACGAAUUUCGUCCUCUAACUUGUACUAAAAUAGUAAUAGAAAAAUAACUUAAAAUAUCGUGCAUAAAAAUAUGUCCGCCUAAGAUUCUGUUGAAGAGUGCAUUGAGAUAUUUCUGUAACCUCAGUCUCAGCCCAAAUAUGUAUUCAUGCCGCGCAGCGGGAAAUCGCAAUUCAAAGUCUAUUAACUGCUGAGUGCUCUCAUCUUUCCAAACAUGUUGUUAAUUUAAACUAUUUUGUACACAAAGAAACUAUGAUUCAAGUUAACCCAAAAUGAGCUACAUUUAAAGCUGAAAAUUACUUGUGUUUCGAUCUGCAUAUGAAGUGUUAUAUGCCUUAUGGUGCCCUGGACAAAUGUCCCAUUUGACACAGGAACAUUUUUAUGCAGCAAUUGUAAUUUUCAAGUGAAAUGUAUUGUUUUGGUACUCUAUUAAUCAAUAUAUAUGAGGGACAAUCACAUUGGAAACUAUCCAAAAAUUAUAUAAAUUGCCUAUUUGUCAUACUGUAGAAUAGAUAUUUACCAUUUGACACUGUUCUUGCAUUUAUUCAGUACAUACAAGACCUGUUGCAUUUAUUUUAAUUCCAGUUUAGUUGAUCAGGCUGAAAACUACUUGUGUUUCGAUUGCUGCAUACUAAGUGUUAUGGUGGGAUGACCCAUCCCUUGCCGCCCUGGACAAAUGUCCCAUUUGACACAGGAACACUGUUAUGAGCAAUUGUCAUUUUCAAGUGAAAUGUUUUGGUACUGUAUUAAUAUGAGGGAAAAACAUAUUGAAAACAAUCCAAAAAUUAUAUAAAUUGCCUAUUUGUAAUAGAAUAUAUAGAUAUUCACCAUUUGACACUGUUCUUGCAUUUAUUCAGUAUAUACAAGACCUGUUGCAUUUAUUUUAAUUCCGGUUUAGUUGAUCAGGCUGAAAACUACUUGUGUUUCGAUUGCUGCAUACUAAGUGUUAUGGUGGGAUGACCCAUCCCUUGCCGCCCUGGACAAAUGUCCCAUUUGACACAGGAACACUGUUAUGAGCAAUUGUCAUUUUCAAGUGAAAUGUUUUGGUACUCUAUUAAUAUGAGGGAAAAACAUAUUGAAAACAAUCCAAAAAUAUAUAAAUUGCCUAUUUGUCAUAGAAUAGAUAUUCACCAUUUGACACUGUUCUUGCAUUUAUUCAGUAUAUACAAGACCUGUUGCAUUUAUUUUAAUUCCAGUUUAGUUGAUCAGGCUGAAAACUACUUGUGUUUCGAUUGCUGCAUACUAAGUGUUAUGGUGGGAUGACCCAUCCCUUGCCGCCCUGGACAAAUGUCCCAUUUGACACAGGAACACUGUUAUGAGCAAUUGUCAUUUUCAAGUGAAAUGUUUUGGUACUGUAUUAAUAUGAGGGAAAAACAUAUUGAAAACAAUCCAAAAAUUAUAUAAAUUGCCUAUUUGUCAUAGAAUAGAUAUUCACCAUUUGACACUGUUCCUGCAUUUAUUCAGUAUAAUUAAAGACCUGUUGCAUUUAUUUUAAUUCCGGUUUAGUUGAUCAGGCUGAAAACUACUUGUGUUUUGAUUGCUGCAUACUAAGUGUUAUGGUGGGAUGACCCAUCCCUUGCCGCCCUGGACAAAUGUCCCAUUUGACACAGGAACACUGUUAUGCAGCAAUUGUCAUUUUCAAGUGAAAUGAUUUGGUACUCUAUUAAUAUGAGGGAAAAACAUAUUGAAAACAAUCCAAAAAUUAUAUAAAUUGCCUAUUUGUCAUAGAAUAGAUAUUCACCAUUUGACACUGUUCCUGCAUUUAUUCAGUAUAAUUAAAGACCUGUUGCAUUUAUUUUAAUUCCAGUUUAGUUGAUCAGGCUGAAAACUACUUGUGUUUCGAUUGCUGCAUACUAAGUGUUAUGGUGGGAUGACCCAUCCCUUGCCGCCCUGGACAAAUGUCCCAUUUGACACAGGAACACUGUUAUGAGCAAUUGUCAUUUUCAAGUGAAAUGUUUUUGGUACUCUAUUAAUAUGAGGGAAAAACAUAUUGAAAACAAUCCAAAAAUUAUAUAAAUUGCCUAUUUGUCAUAGAAUAGAUAUUCACCAUUUGACACUGUUCUUGCAUUUAUUCAGUAUACAGUAUACAAGACCUGUUGCAUUAAUUUUAAUUCCGGUUUAGUUGAUCAGGCUGAAAACUACUUGUGUUUCGAUUGCUGCAUACUAAGUGUUAUGGUGGGAUGACCCAUCCCUUGCCGCCCUGGACAAAUGUCCCAUUUGACACAGGAACACUGUUAUGAGCAAUUGUCAUUUUCAAGUGAAAUGUUUUGGUACUCUAUUAAUAUGAGGGAAAAACAUAUUGAAAACAAUCCAAAAAUUAUAUAAAUUGCCUAUUUGUCAUAGAAUAGAUAUUCACCAUUUGACACUGUUCUUGCAUUUAUUCAGUAUAUACAAGACCUGCUGCAUUUAUUUUAAUUCCAGUUUAGUUGAUCAGGCUGAAAACUACUUGUGUUUCGAUUGCUGCAUACUAAGUGUUAUGGUGGGAUGACCCAUCCCUUGCCGCCCUGGACAAAUGUCCCAUUUGACACAGGAACACUGUUAUGCAGCAAUUGCCAUUUUCAAGUGAAAUGUUUUGGUACUGUAUUAAUAUGAGGGAAAAACAUAUCGGAAACAAUCCAAAAAUUAUAUCAAUUGCCUAUUUGUCAUAGAAUAGAUAUUGACCAUUUGACACUGUUCCUGCAUUUAUUCAGUAUGAAGACCUGUUGCAUUUAUUUUAAUUCCGGUUUUUAGUUGAUCAGGCUGAAAACUGCUUGUGUUUCGAGUGCUGCAUACUGUUUGGGUAGGAUGACCCAUCCCUUGCCGCCCUGGACAAAUGUCCCGUUUGACACAGGAACACUGUUAUGCAGCAAUUGUCAUUUUCAAGUGAAAUGUUUGGUACUGUAUUAAUAUUAUAAUGUUCAAACUUAUUGGAAACAAUCGAAACUAAAAAUAUAUAAAUUGCCUAUUUGCCAUAGAAUCAAGUAUCGAGCAUUUGAUACAAUUCCUGCAUUUUGUCAGGUUAAAGACUUGUCGCAUCUAUUUCAAUUGCAUUUUAAUUGUAAGGCUGGAAACUGUAAGUGUGGUUGUGAGUUUCGAUUGCUGCAUUAUCCGCAUAUUAAUGUUAUGGUGGGAUGAGCUACUGUAUUUCUUGCCGCUAUGUACAAAUGCAUGAUUCAUUUGGCACAGAAAUACUGUUAUGCAGCAAUUUUCAUUUCAAAUUCAAAUGUUUUGAUUGUUUUUGUUUAAGCUAAGUAAAGUGCUAUUGUGAACAUUUAAUACACCCACACCCUUACAGCCCACGAGCACUUUCCCCUUGGCGCGGUAAUUUAUUGAAUUAUGUUUUUAUACUUAGCAAUCUCCUCACGCCAAAGGUUGACGUAUUGUUCAAAGUCAAGAUGGUAGAAUUUAAACUUGUAGUAACCACCACACCAGAAGAUGCUAGCUUUAAAGCAUUUGUUUGGAGAAAGAUAAGUCUAUCCUUGCGACAACAACAAAUCUCUUGGAAGCCCUGGUUAACCUUAUAUCAUGCAGAUUGUUAUUGAUGUAUUUGAUGCCAACUAUCCUCACUCUAUAUUUGAUAUGUUUAUGGCAAAUAGCCUAAUUGGACAUUUCUAUUACAAAUUGCUUACUUUAUCUGAUUGCAACAAUGUUUAUCCCAUUUGGAACUGGAGGAAGAAAAGACUGAAGCCUAGACUUGUGCGAUUAUAAUGGAUGUAACCUCGCAAAUAUGGCGUUGUAUUUUACUGCCAUAUUAAUAACUGUAUGAAAACGUCUGAUAUGAACAAUUUGCAUUCAUUUGUUAUAUUUGCAUGUUCUAUAUAAUGUAGAAUAUUUCAAUGUAUUACACAGCAGACCUUACAAGGCCGUUUUCAUAUUGAUAUUGUGUACAUUCGAAUUAAAAUAUUUUUGAC